GACGAACGCUGGCGGCGUGCUUAACACAUGCAAGUCGAACGAUGAUGCUGGAGCUUGCUCCAGUUGAUUAGUGGCGAACGGGUGAGUAACACGUGAGCAAUCUGCCCUUGACUCUGGGAUAACUGCGGGAAACUGUAGCUAAUACCGGAUACUUUCACCGGAAGGCAUCUUCUGGUGAUGAAAGAAUUUCGGUCAGGGAUGAGCUCGCGGCCUAUCAGCUUGUUGGUGAGGUAACGGCUCACCAAGGCGACGACGGGUAACCGGCCUGAGAGGGUGACCGGUCACACUGGGACUGAGACACGGCCCAGACUCCUACGGGAGGCAGCAGUGGGGAAUAUUGCACAAUGGGCGCAAGCCUGAUGCAGCAACGCCGCGUGAGGGAUGGAGGCCUUCGGGUUGUAAACCUCUUUUAGCAGGGAAGAAGCGGAAGUGACGGUACCUGCAGAAAAAGCACCGGCUAACUACGUGCCAGCCGCCGCAGUAA
rnacentral:rRNA from 1 species